AAUGAGGUUAGUAAACAAUGAAACACUAACCACUCUAACCGUCCUUACAUCUUCAAAUAAAUUACCCUUUCAGGUCGACAAAUGCCCAUUCCCUCCGAGGAGGGGGCGAAGGCAUACACGGACUUCAUGUUCUUCUGGUCCUACACGAUAUUUGGGGACAAUAAUUUCAAGCAUUGUGCCUGUCUCAUCGCGGUAUGCUUCCAGUUCAGCAUCUUCAGGAAUGCGGUUUGGAAGGGGAAUUUCCCUAAUAAAUUCCCCUGGAGGGCAGUGCUCUGGUGUUGGAUCUGUUAGCUUAAAUGUCCUAUCAUGUCUCUUAAUAAAUGGCAUGCAU
rnacentral:misc_RNA from 1 species